UUCUUUAUAUUCCUAAUUUGCCGCAUAUCUUUAUCAUGAAUGUGUUUUUGAUUUGUCAAGUGCUUAUUAGGUGUCUUUGAGAUGAUCAUGUAGGUUCUGUGCUUUAUUCCAUUUCAUUUAUUGACUUUUUCAUAAUGGUCCUUCUGACUAGGGUAAGAUUGGUAUCGCAUUGUGGUGUUAAUUUGCAUUCCCUGAUGAUCAGUGAUGUUGAGCAUUUUUUUUCAUAUGUUUUCUGGCCAUUUAUAUAUCUUCUUUUGCCUGUUCAUGUCAUCUCCCCACUUUUUAAUGGGGUUAUUUAUUUAUUUUUUUCUUGCUGAUUUGUUUGUGUUUCUUGUAGAUUCUGGGUUAGUCCUUUGUUGGAUGGACA
rnacentral:lncRNA from 1 species